CCUACGGGAGGCAGCAGUGAGGAAUAUUGGUCAAUGGCCGAGAGGCUGAACCAGCCAAGUCGCGUGAGGGAAGAAUGUCCUAUGGAUUGUAAACCUCUUUUGUCAGGGAGCAAAGUCACCCACGUGUGGGUGUUGGAGAGUACCUGAAGAAAAAGCAUCGGCUAACUCCGUGCCAGCAGCCGCGGUAAUACGGAGGAUGCGAGCGUUAUCCGGAUUUAUUGGGUGUAAAGGGAGCGUAGGCGGGGAUGCAAGUUGGGUGUCAAAACUACCGGCUCAACUGGUAGUCGCACUCAAAACUGCAGCUCUUGAGUGAAGUAGAGGCAGGCGGAAUUCCUAGUGUAGCGGUGAAAUGCGUAGAUAUUAGGAGGAACACCAGUGGCGAAGGCGGCCUGCUGGGCUUUUACUGACGCUGAGGCUCGAAAGUGUGGGGAGCAAACAGGAUUAGAUACCCGGGUAGUC
rnacentral:rRNA from 1 species